GACCGCCAGUGAAAAUCGAUUUUCACUGGCGGUUUUAUUACGCCGACCGCCAGUGAAAAUCGAUUUUCACUAGCGGUC
rnacentral:pre_miRNA from 7 species